UGGGGAAUAUUGCACAAUGGGCGCAAGCCUGAUGCAGCCAUGCCGCGUGUAUGAAGAAGGCCUUCGGGUUGUAAAGUACUUUCAGUCGGGAGGAAGGUGGUAAGGUUAAUAACCUUAUCAAUUAACGUUACCGACAGAAGAAGCACCGGCUAACUCCGUGCCAGCAGCCGCGGUAAUACGGAGGGUGCAAGCGUUAAUCGGAAUUACUGGGCGUAAAGCGCACGCAGGCGGUUUGUUAAGUCAGAUGUGAAAUCCCCGGGCUCAACCUGGGAACUGCAUCUGAUACUGGCAAGCUUGAGUCUCGUAGAGGGGGGUAGAAUUCCAGGUGUAGCGGUGAAAUGCGUAGAGAUCUGGAGGAAUACCGGUGGCGAAGGCGGCCCCCUGGACGAAGACUGACGCUCAGGUGCGAAAGCGUGGGGAGCAAACAGG
rnacentral:rRNA from 1 species